rnacentral:tRNA from 6 species
GGAGCGGUAGUUCAGUUGGUUAGAAUACCGGCCUGUCACGCCGGUGGUCGCGGGUUCGAGCCCCGUCCGCUCCGCCA